UACAGAGGGGGCAAGCGUUGUUCGGAAUUACUGGGCGUAAAGGGCGCGUAGGCGGCCUGUUAAGUCGGACGUGAAAUCCCUCGGCUCAACCGAGGAACUGCAUCCGAUACUGGCGGGCUUGAAUCCGGGAGAGGGAUGUGGAAUUCCAGGUGUAGCGGUGAAAUGCGUAGAUAUCUGGAGGAACACCGGUGGCGAAGGCGGCAUCCUGGACCGGUAUUGACGCUGAGGCGCGAAAGCUAGGGGAGCAAACGGG
rnacentral:rRNA from 1 species